CAGCAGUAGCCGCGGUAAAACGUAGGGUGCAAGCGUUAAUCGGAAUUACUGGGCGUAAAGCGUGCGCAGGCGGUUUGUUAAGACAGAUGUGAAAUCCCCGGGCUCAACCUGGGAACUGCAUUUGUGACUGGCAAGCUAGAGUGUGGCAGAGGGGGGUGGAAUUCCGCGUGUAGCAGUGAAAUGCGUAGAUAUGCGGAGGAACACCGAUGGCGAAGGCAGCCCCCUGGGCCAACACUGACGCUCAUGCACGAAAGCGUGGGGAGCAAACAGGAUUAGAUACCCCGGUAGUCCCUGUCUCUUAUAC
rnacentral:rRNA from 1 species